AGAGCCUAUUACAUAACAGAUCAUGAUGGGUCAUCAUGUCAAGAAUGGAAGGAUUAAAAGAAGAGGUAUUUUUCACAUUCAGAUUCUGAUGCCUAGAAGAAGCUUUUUGUGAGCCCAGAACAGACUGUACCAGAGCCUGUGUACAUAUAUACCAGAAGUCAUCAGACCCUGAGGUGAACUACAAGGAUGUUGAAAAUGGACAAUCAAGGACAGUGCGCUGUAUGUCAGAAGUAUGGCAGCAAGCAGAACCACAUGAGGAGCAAAUUGCCACAACCACUACACAUCUCAGCCUGUGCAGAAGCAGCUACACAUGUAUCUCACAUGUCAGGACAGGGAUGUAUAAGAUUUCACAGAUUUCUUUUGGGAGCAAACAUGAGAACCUGA
rnacentral:lncRNA from 1 species